UGAGACACGGCCCAGACUCCUACGGGAGGCAGCAGUAGGGAAUUUUCCACAAUGGACGAAAGUCUGAUGGAGCAACGCCGCGUGAACGAUGAAGGUCUUCGGAUUGUAAAGUUCUGUUGUCAGAGACGAACAAGUACCGUUCGAACAGGGCGGUACCUUGACGGUACCUGACGAGAAAGCCACGGCUAACUACGUGCCAGCAGCCGCGGUAAUACGUAGGUGGCAAGCGUUGUCCGGAAUUAUUGGGCGUAAAGCGCGCGCAGGCGGCUAUGUAAGUCUGGUGUUAAAGCCCGGGGCUCAACCCCGGUUCGCAUCGGAAACUGUGUAGCUUGAGUGCAGAAGAGGAAAGCGGUAUUCCACGUGUAGCGGUGAAAUGCGUAGAGAUGUGGAGGAACACCAGUGGCGAAAGCGGCUUUCUGGUCUGUAACUGACGCUGAGCGCGAAAGCGUGGGGAGCAAACAGGAUUA
rnacentral:rRNA from 1 species